GAUGGGAUGGCCCAAAGAGUAGACAGCGAGUUCUCUAUGCCGAUGCAAACUUGCAGCUUCUUUACUGCACACUCAACGUAAAAAAACUGUUUUUUGAAACCUUCCUCUCAGUGUCCUGUACCUGCCCAGUGUGCAAAUCCUCUGCUUGACACUCCUCGCAGGCGUCACAUUAGUGAUAUCUCAAAGGCUAUAAGUUGUUCGAGGCGGGCUGACACAAAACAU